AUGAAUUCCGCACUGGUUAAAGAGUUCUCAGAGAAGGAAGUUAGUGACGCACUUUUUUAGAUCGGCCCUUUAAAGGCUCCCGGACCCAAUGGUUUUCCCGCCAGAUUCUACCAAAGGAAUUGGGGCACAGUUAAGAGAGAUGUGGUGAACGCGGUCCUGAAGUUUUUUCAAGAGGGAGUUAUGCCGGAGGGUACCAACGAUACAGUCAUAGCUCUCAUACCCAAAGGAAACAGGCCGGAGCAAUUGAAGGACUUUCACCCUAUCGGUCUAUGCAAUGUGAUAUACAAGGUAAUCUCUAAGUGUAUGGUGAAUCGCCUAAGACCCUUUCUGGAUGAGCUCAUUUCGGAAACCCAAAGUGCCUUCAUCCCAGGGCGUCUAAUUACGGAUAAUGCUACAAUCGCUUUUGAGUGUUUUCACAAGAUCCAGAACAGCAAAUUGCCUAGGAAUACUCAUUGCACCUUUAAAUUGGAUUUGGCGAAAGCUUACGAUCGUGUGGAUUGGGGCUUCCUGGAAGAGGCUCUAUUGAAGUUGGGUUUUGAUCACAAAUGGGUUCAGUGGGUUAUGUGAUGUGUUAUGUCAGUGCGAUAUGCAGUCAAAUAUAAUGGGGAGCUGCUGGACUUUUUCCUUCCCUCGAGAGGACUUCGCCAGGGCGACCCGCUGAGUCCCUACCUUUUCCUCUUCGUCGCCGAUGGCCUGUCCUGCCUGCUGGACAAAGAGAUUCGGCGGGGAAGGUUAACUCCUCUUAAGAUCGCUAGAGGCAGCCCGGGUGUGUCAAACCUCCUGUUUGCCGACGACAGCCUACUCUUUUCCAAAGCUUCCAAAGAGGAGGCCGAGGGUGUGAAGCAAGUGUUGGAUGAGUUUCAAAGGGGUUCGGGUCAACUCCUAAGCUACAGCAAGUGCUCAAUCAUGUUCAGUGAAGUGUGCCCAAGUGAUGUCCAGGAGGAAAUCAAAAGUGUACUUGAGAUAAUGGCUUCUACAUUCGAGAGUAAGUAUUUGGGGCUACCUACGGCAGAGGGGCGUAUGAAAGAGUCAUCUUUUCAACCAAUCAUGGAGAGGUUCAUCAAGAGAUGCUCGGAUUGGUCUGAAAGAUUCAUGUCCCAUGCAGCAAAAGAGGUCCUCAUCAAGUUUGUUCUUCAAGCCCUCCCAACGUACUGCAUGGGGGUGUUUAAGAUGACACAAGGUUUCUGCGAUAAAUAUGAGAAACUUAUCCGGAACUUCUGGUGGGGAGAAGAAAAUGGGCAGAGGAAAGUCCACUGGAUGUCUUGGGAGAGAAUGAUCAAGCCUAAAAGAGGAGGGGGUAUCGGUUUUAGAGAUAUGAAACUCUUCAACCAAGCUUUGUUAGCGAGACAAGCUUGGAGACUUAUUCAGUGGCCCGAUAGUCUGUGCGCGAGAGUGCUGAAAUCAAAAUACUAUCCUAAGGGGGAGCUGCUGGACACAAUUUUUGCUUCUGAUGCUUCUCCGGUUUGGCGGGGCAUUGAGCAUGGUCUCGAGCUCCUGAAGGAGGGCAUUGUUUGGAGGAUCGGAAAUGGGAGAAAGGUUAAUAUCCAGCGGGACCGGUGGAUCCCUCGUGAGAGUGGUCUGAAACCUGCUAACCUCAUUCGUCGAUCCAGAUUGCGUUGGGUGAAUCAAUUGAUGCUUGCAGAUGGAAGUGGAUGGAAUUCAGAACUGAUUUACUAG
rnacentral:rRNA from 1 species